AGAUUGAACGCUGGCGGCAGGCCUAACACAUGCAAGUCGAGCGGCAGCACGGGUACUUGUACCUGGUGGCGAGCGGCGGACGGGUGAGUAAUGCCUAGGAAUCUGCCUGAUAGUGGGGGAUAACGUUCGGAAACGGACGCUAAUACCGCAUACGUCCUACGGGAGAAAGUGGGGGAUCUUCGGACCUCACGCUAUCAGAUGAGCCUAGGUCGGAUUAGCUAGUUGGUAGGGUAAAGGCCUACCAAGGCUACGAUCCGUAACUGGUCUGAGAGGAUGAUCAGUCACACUGGAACUGAGACACGGUCCAGACUCCUACGGGAGGCAGCAGUGGGGGAAUAGUUGGACAAGUGGGACGAAAGCCUGACU
rnacentral:rRNA from 1 species